rnacentral:rRNA from 1 species
ACGGAGGGGGCUAGCGUUAUUCGGAUUUACUGGGCGUAAAGCGCACGUAGGCGGCGUAUCUAGUCAGAGGUGAAAGCCCGGGGCUCAACCCCGGAAUUGCCUUUGAUACUGGUAUGCUUGAGUUCGGAAGAGGGUAGUGGAAUUCCAAGUGUAGAGGUGAAAUUCGUAGAUAUUUGGAAGAACACCGGUGGCGAAGGCGGCUACCUGGUCCGAUACUGACGCUGAGGUGCGAAAGCGUGGGGAGCGAACAGG